rnacentral:rRNA from 1 species
AGUGAACGCUGGCGGUAGGCCUAACACAUGCAAGUCGAACGGCAGCACAGUAAGAGCUUGCCCUCACGGGUGGCGAGUGGCGGACGGGUGAGGAAUACAUCGGAAUCUACUUUUUCGUGGGGGCUAACGCAGGGCAACUUCCGCUAAUACCGCAUACGACUUACGGGUGAAAGCAUGGGAUCUUAGGACCUUGCGCGUAUGAAUAAGCCGAUGUCGGAUUAGCUAGCUGGCGGGGUAAAGGCCCACCAAGGCGACGAUCCGUAGCUGGUCUGAGAGGAUGAUCGGCCACACUGGAACUGAGACACGGUCCAGACUCCUACGGGAGGCAGCAGUGGGGAAUAUUAGGCAAGGGACGCAAGCCUGAUCCAGCCAUACCGCGGGAGUGAAGAAGGCCCUCGGGUUGUAAAGCCCUGUUGUUAGGAAAGAAAAACAGCAGGUUUAUACCCCGCUGUUCUGACGGUACCCAAAGAAUAAGCACCGGCUAACUUCGUG